rnacentral:rRNA from 1 species
AUUGAAGAGUUUGAUCAUGGCUCAGAUUGAACGCUGGCGGCAGGCCUAACACAUGCAAGUCGAACGGUAACAGGAAGAAGCUUGCUUCUUUGCUGACGAGUGGCGGACGGGUGAGUAAUGUCUGGGAAACUGCCUGAUGGAGGGGGAUAACUACUGGAAACGGUAGCUAAUACCGCAUAACGUCGCAAGACCAAAGAGGGGGACCUUCGGGCCUCUUGCCAUCGGAUGUGCCCAGAUGGGAUUAGCUAGUAGGUGGGGUAACGGCUCACCUAGGCGACGAUCCCUAGCUGGUCUGAGAGGAUGACCAGCCACACUGGAACUGAGACACGGUCCAGACUCCUACGGGAG